GAGAUUUGCUUUCUAGCGUCCCAAGAUUUCGAUACAGACCACAACAAAGAGCGAUCGCCAGGUGGGGGAAGGACCCUGAAAAGGUAUGUCUCCAUGGAGAGCGCUGGGCCGCCACCUUCCUGUCUCCCAUUGUCCUGCUGCAGCAAAUAUUGUUUCCCACACUUGAUGCACCUCAAGAGACCUAGCCCCUUUUGGCAGCGGUCCAUUUGGCAGUCACACCGACAGAAGGACCAGCAUGUGCGUGGGCUUCAUAAUAAAAUAAUCUUUGCCCUGGGGUGCUGAAACUCCAGCAGCAACUCCCUGACAGUUUCGCUUGCCCCGAGAGAAGGGAAAAAAAGAAUAAUUGGAAUCGGGUACAGACAUGCAGUGUCACUAUCUGUGCAAUACUGUACACUGUAGAUGAAAUAUGACAGAAACACAACGCAGUUUCAAGUUGUGUACAUGUGCUUUUAAGAUCCUGCAAAACAAGGAUCUAGGUAUUGAGUUAUGACAUGAAACUGAAACUGUAUCAAGAAGUGAAGCCUAUCUUUAUUACCCAAAAUAAAGGACUCUGUAAUAUCACAUUUCAAGUAGAAACAUGAGGACUGGGAUUAUUAAAUCAUACGCACACGCAAAGUGUGUAGUUUGGUACAAAAACACAACAGACUGGCUUUUCUGGUUGCAGUUUCAGUACCUGACUUUACAACUAAUUAAAUCUGAAGUGUGGAAAAAGCA